rnacentral:rRNA from 1 species
GACGUAGGGAGCGAGCGUUGUCCGGAUUCAUUGGGCGUAAAGCGCGCGUAGGCGGUUUGGUAAGUCGGAUGUGAAAAUCCGGGGCUCAACCCCGGACCUGCAUCCGAUACUGCCCGACUAGAGGUAGGUAGGGGAGAUCGGAAUUCCUGGUGUAGCGGUGAAAUGCGCAGAUAUCAGGAGGAACACCGGUGGCGAAGGCGGAUCUCUGGGCCUUACCUGACGCUGAGGCGCGAAAGCUAGGGGAGCGAACAGG